AAGAUACAAGCGGUUAGAAUUAUCUGGAUUUGAUAAGAAACAAUCAGUUGGAUAAUGCCAAAAGCCAUAUAAUUCAUGAUUUAAUGUUUUUCCAAAAAGGGAAAUAUUUUUAUUUUAGAAUGAUGAUGAUGAUGAUGAUGGAAAAUUCAAUGAUCAAAAUUGAGAUAAACCGUUAUAUCUAUAAUCUACGUCUCAAAGCACGAAAUCAAUUAAAUAAUUUACGAUUAGUUCUUUGACCAAUUCUAUUCGGCGGACGUUAAUGUCAAGCAGUCAGAUUGGUGCAUAUUAACCCUUGGCAAAUGCAGUUUGACAAUAGCAGUACAGAAAUGUUGGCACUGAUUUUGCUUUCGUCGUUGAACCUUAAAAAAAAACGUAUACUUGGCAACAGAUGGUGGAAAAAAACAAACAUGGCCGUUUGCAUAUUGCUCGUACUAUGUUAAGACUACUCGGAAAUCGUCCAGAACUUAACUCGUAUCACUUUUGUAUCGCACAAUUUGCAAACUUUAACAACACUGCAUGUAUGUAUGUAAUAUUAUAUAGUUUAAACGGAGAAAGUCGUUGUGAAAAAAUCAUGUUUAUUAUAUGUGAUUCCUUAUGUGUACUUACUACUUUUUAAACAGGAAGUUUUUUUUUUUACACUAACCAUAAUAAAGAAAUCAUUGUCAGAGUUUGUUGGACUGCAUUACUCGCUAGAUUGCAAUUUUUAAUGGACAGUCGGCCAACAACAAGCGAGGAGACAAACACAAAAUCGAUAGGCGUUAUUUGAAAUCCAUUAGUCGAUUUCGAAAAGGAAGAAAACGCUCAUAUGCACGUGAUAAUGCACACCGUGUAAAAUUUGAUAUCUAUUGCCAUAUUUGCCACAAGCUUAGCCGCACUGUUUAUCUGUAUUAAUUCCUAUAACUUAUUAUUUAUUAUCUCUAC